GUAGUCGUGGCCGAGUGGUGCCAAGGUGACAGACUAGAACUGAUCUGUUAGCGGAUGAUCCUGCGCAGGUUCGAAUCCUGCCGAUUACG